ACUUCGGGGCAGGGUGAAAUUCCCGACCGGCGGUAUAUGUUUGACAUGAGCCCGCGAGCCGUAAGGCAUGAUCCGGUGAGAAUCCGGAGCCGACAGUAGAGUCUGGAUGAAAGAAG
rnacentral:ncRNA from 1 species